rnacentral:sRNA from 1 species
AACGGUUCUCGCCUUAAGUCAGGUUCGA